UUUCAGAGUUUACAAACACGAAUGCAACACCUGAAAAACAAAUCAAGCCAUCAAAGAAGUCUGGACCUGAAUCAGAAGUAAUUCAAUUGCAGCGAGAGCUUAAAAAAAGCCUUCCGACCAACUUGAGUUUCAAAUGGAGCUACAAAAAGCUGUUGGAGGAGAAGAAAGUGGGGAGAAGCAAUAAUGCUUGCAAGCAAGUCAUUAUCUACACAAAUCUGG